CUCAGCUACAACAACCAAACAUUGGCAUGCCUUUAACAGUCUGAGUUUAAACCAGGGCAUGGAGAUGGUGCUGUGCUGUGGUUGGCUCAAGUUAUGGCAAGAAGGAUUUCUCAACCAUUCCUGGAAGAGUCCAGAAUAACGCCCAAGAAACAGACAAGUCAUGGGAGUGGACCUGUAUUCAGUAUCUGAACCAAGAUUUGGCUGGUGUCUGGUGUCUCAAUCAGUCCUGGAACUGGAGCCAAGUGUAUUUGAUGAAAGUCCAUUCUUCAGUAAAUACAUGAAGAUCCACAGGAGAGAAGAAAAAAAAUCCUUGCCUAGCAAAACUAUAUAUUUUUUUCUAAGACUGAAUGUUGCAUUUGUUUUGACAUUUUAAAUAAUGCUAAAGUUGGUAUCUUUCCAUCUUGGAAUCUUCAGUCUUCUGCUCAAAAGCUCUAUAUUCUUCUCUGGUUUAUUUAAGUCUAACUCCAACUGUGUGCAUUACAUUCUGUUGGUUUUAUCUGUUCAUGGACCACAAGCAGAUGCCAAGCAUUUUCUGAAGAUAAAACUUUAGAGGCAAAUAGAAGUCACAAUGGGGCACAGUGUUUUGCUUCACUUGGCCACUGAGUGAAUUUUGAAGCCUAGAUUGCUUUUACACUUGCUAUACGACAGAAGGAAAGUACCAGUUAUGGAAAUGUCAGGUAAAUUGGAGAUAUUACAGUCCCAUGGGUGUUUAGACUCUUUUUCCCAAGUUAUUUGAGGAUAAUAAAUGCUGUGGAAUUUCCAUAUACAUUUUUGAGUGAGAAAUUGAAAUUCAUGUUUGAUGCAAUCUUGUCUAUUGACAAGCAGGAAAAGACUAAAUGCUUUGAAAUAUACAUAUAUAUUCUGAAACUAGAGAUAAGUCAUCUCCAUAAGGUAUGACAACACAAGAGAAAAGAGUAAUGUUAGUCCCUUGGAAAAAGAACAAGCUCACCUUUUUGUUUGGCUAUGCUUUUAAUAACAGAUCCUUUGAGCACUUCCAGUUCAUAACCUUCAUAAAGGCUACAAGUUGAAAGAACUGUCGGUAUGAAGAUAUGCAGACCCAUUCAGAAUUUCAGUGCAAAACACCCUAUGCAAACUCCAGCUGAAAAUGGAAUUGGUUCACAACCAGCCGAAAGAUUUGAAACUGCUGAAAGAAAAGAAGUUGUUUCUUAUUUUUUGCAGCUAAAGGCAUUCACAUCACUAACUGUGUGAAAUGAAAAAUCUGUAAUGCGUUCCUGCAUUUCAUUUGCUCACUUGCCUAUAUUAAAAAUAUAUUCACUAAAAAAUGUCAGGGAUUCUACUCUUUGUCUCAUGGUGAUCUAGCUUUUCUUUCUCCCAUAGACUAAAUCUAUUACUGAUGAUGUUAAGCCUGAAAGUAAAGCAUUAAAAGAAACUCUGAGAUUUUAAAAACCCCAAUAAAUUCUAAAUAGUAGGAGGAAUCUUGGAAUGGAUUGUUUCUGCAUGUAUGCCUGCUGAUGUCAUUUGCAGUAAAUUUCAACUGCAUUUUCAUAUUUAGUUGAGUCAAGGGGAAAAUGAUAAUCUCAAAGAUGACAAAGUUAGGUCACUCUGAAAUAGUAGCCAUAGAUUAGAGCUGGGAAUAGAACAAAGAACAACACUGAUGUCAGAGAGGAGUAAUUCUACUUGAGAAACGGUAAGAGUAAUUCCAUGGAGAUAGUAGGCUGUUAAAAGCAUAAGACCAAUUUGCCAACAUAAUGUAUUGCUUGGAACUGCUAUUUUUGCUCUAAAUAAAAAAAUAUAUAAAAAAAUUAUCUGGUAAACACAUAAAUAAGGUAGACUUAAGUGGCUAACAGACAUGUCAGUUUAUCACAAGAAAUAUUAGCUUUCUUGUCACUAUUACUUGGAGUAAGUCUCCUGUGUUAGACAUAGCUAAUAAUGACUGUUAUGAAACAGGUGUUUAAUACUCUUAUGAAAUUAGAUGGACAUUAGCUUCCUACUCAGAAAAUCACCUUCAUAAAUGGAGCUCUGCUUGGAUGGCCUUAAUGGAGGAAAAAAGGCCAUUUGUGGUCUCUUAAGACAGAACAGUUAUUCUGCUUCUCUUCGAGAAGUAAUUUCUUUUUACUAGCUUGCAAACUAAACAUCGUGACCUCCUGGCUUGUUGUACCUUCUACCAUAGAAUACCAGUGAAAUAAAACGGUGACUGUACUAUAUUUGGUGUUUUAAAUAUCUUGCAUCUGGGUUCUGAAACAAGAUUUUUCAUUGCACUACCAAAAUUUCUGAAAUAAAGAAAAAUCUAGAAAAGACAAGACAUUACAUGGCAUGGUGAUGAUCUAUGGCAUCAAUACUGUAUAUUUUAUGUCAUAUUUUUGAAAAUACUUUAUCAUAGAAAAUACUUCAAGAAAUUGUUCAGCAGUCUUCUUUUAUAUUAGCCUUCUUGGUACAUCAUCUUUUCCUAUAUAUUCUGCAGGUGAUUUUAUUCUCUAUUUUUGCUGCAAGGCAAAAGGGCAACUGAAUAUUUGGUAAAGGUUG
ensembl:lncRNA